rnacentral:rRNA from 1 species
UUUAUUGGAGAGUUUGAUCCUGGCUCAGGAUGAACGCUGGCGGCGUGCCUAAUACAUGCAAGUCGAGCGAAUGGAUUGAGAGUUUGCUCUCAAGAAGUUAGCGGCGGACGGGUGAGUAACACGUGGGUAACCUGCCUAUAAGACUGGGAUAACUCCGGGAAACCGGGGCUAAUACCGGAUAACAUUUUGAACUGCAUGGUUCGAAAUUGAAAGGCGGCUUCGGCUGUCACUUAUGGAUGGACCCGCGUCGCAUUAGCUAGUUGGUGAGGUAACGGCUCACCAAGGCAACGAUGCG